rnacentral:rRNA from 1 species
UACGUAGGGGGCAAGCGUUGUCCGGAAUCAUUGGGCGUAAAGGGUGCGUAGGCGGGCGGGUAAGUCAGGGGUGAAAUCCCACGGCCCAACCGUGGAAGUGCCUCUGAUACUGCGUGCCUGGAGGGGGAUAGGGGCGUGCGGAACUUCCGGUGGAGCGGUGAAAUGCGUAGAUAUCGGGAGGAACACCUGUGGCGAAAGCGGCGCACUGGACCACAACUGACGCUGAGGCGCGAAAGCUAGGGGAGCAAACAGG